AGAGUUUGAUCCUGGCUCAGAAUGAACGCUGGCGGCGUGCUUAACACAUGCAAGUCGAACGAGAAAGGGAUUGCUUGCAAUCCUGAGUAGAGUGGCGCACGGGUGAGUAACACGUAGAUAAUCUGCCUUCAAGCCUGGGAUAACUAUUCGAAAGGAUAGCUAAUACCGGAUAAAGUCGGUUUACACAAGUAGAUUGAUGAAAGAUUGCCUCUUCUUGAAAGCAAUUGUUUGGGGAUGAGUUUGCGUACCAUUAGCUUGUUGGUGGGGUAAAGGCCUACCAAGGCAACGAUGGUUAGCUGGUCUGAGAGGAUGAUCAGCCACACUGGAACUGGAACACGGUCCAGACUCCUACGGGAGGCAGCAGUGAGGAAUUUUGCGCAAUGGGGGAAACCCUGACGCAGCAACGCCGCGUGAGUGAAGAAGGCCUUUGGGUCGUAAAGCUCUGUCAACUGGGAAGAAAUUAGAUUUCCAUUAAUAGUGGUUUCUAUUGACGGUACCAGUGGAGGAAGCGCCGGCUAACUCCGUGCCAGCAGCCGCGGUAACACGGGGGCGCAAGCGUUAUUCGGAAUUAUUGGGCGUAAAGGGCGCGCAGGCGGUCUUGUCCGUCAGGUGUGAAAGCUCGGGGCUCAACCCCGGAAGUGCACUUGAAACAGCAAGACUUGAAUACGGGAGAGGAGAGAGGAAUUCCUGGUGUAGAGGUGAAAUUCGUAGAUAUCAGGAGGAACACCGAUGGCGAAGGCAUCUCUCUGGACCGAUAUUGACGCUGAGGCGCGAAGGCGUGGGUAGCGAACGGGAUUAGAUACCCCGGUAGUCCACGCAGUAAACGUUGUACACUCGGUGUGGCGGAUAUUAAAAUCUGCUGUGCCUAAGCUAACGCAUUAAGUGUACCGCCUGGGAAGUACGGUCGCAAGACUAAAACUCAAAAGGAAUUGACGGGGCCCGCACAAGCGGUGGAGCAUGUGGUUUAAUUCGACGCAACGCGAAGAACCUUACCUGGGUUUGACAUCCUGUGAAUAUCCCGUAAUUGGGAUAGUGCCUUCGGGAGCACAGAGACAGGUGCUGCAUGGCUGUCGUCAGCUCGUGUCGUGAGAUGUUUGGUUAAGUCCAGCAACGAGCGCAACCCUUAUCGUUAGUUGCCAGCACAUAAUGGUGGGAACUCUAACGAGACUGCCCGGGUCAACCGGGAGGAAGGUGGGGAUGACGUCAAGUCCUCAUGGCCCUUAUA
rnacentral:rRNA from 1 species